GACGAACGCUGGCGGCGGGCUUAACACAUGCAAGUCGAACGGAAAGGCCCUGCUUGUGUGUGGUGCUCGAGUGGCGAACGGGUGAGUAACACGUGAGUAACCUGCCCUUGACUUUGGGAUAACUUCAGGAAACUGGGGCUAAUACCGGAUAGGAGCUCCUGCUGCAUGGUGGGGGUUGGAAAGUUUCGGCGGUUGGGGAUGGACUGGCGGCUUAUCAGCUGGUUGGUGGGGUAGUGGCUUACCAAGGCUUUGACGGGUAGCCGGCCUGAGAGGGUGACCGGCGACAUUGGGACUGAGAUACGCACCAGACUCCUACGGGAGGCAGCAGUGGGAAAUAUUGCACAAUGGGCGGACGCCUGAUGAAGCAACGCUGCGUGCGGGAUGACGGCCUUCGGGUUGUAAACCGCUUUAGCCUGUGACGAAGCGUGAGUGACGGUAAUGGGUAAAGAAGCACCGGCUAACUACGUG
rnacentral:rRNA from 1 species